rnacentral:lncRNA from 1 species
UUUAAUCUCACUAGAAGUUAAAAGCAUGAGUAAAUCACGUAUUAUUCUGAAAGGAUUAACACCUUACCAAUUAACAGUUUUAACAACAAAUUUAACAGGUGUUGUUAUAUAGAUACAGACCAAGAGAAUAACUUUGUUUUCCUAGACACGUAGGAGUGAUGAGACUUGUGAAAGCAUGGAUGAAAUCUUAGUGCCCUGGAAGUCAAUGACAGAACUUCCUAGUGUGCCAGUACUCAGACUUUUGAACAAAUUAAGUGCCCAAAUCCCAGUAUGCAUACCUUAGGUUUUUUUUUGUUUUGUUUUGUUUUUUUUUAGUAAAUAUCAUAGAACCUCUGAGCUGAAAUGUAAUCUUUUUUUUCUCUUUCAUUUCAGGAGGUGAUAUAUAAAUAAAUCUGAGAACUGGAGAUGAUGAUGCCAGACAGAAUAUUAAUAAAAUCUCCUUACUCCUGCUUCUACCAUAUCUCUGGAGGUAAAGAAGAGAAUUUAGCUGCGUACCAGUUGCACACAAACUACUCCCUACUGCCAAAUGUUACAGACAAGAAGUUGCCAGGAAAGCAGUGCAUCUCAAGAAUGGCGAUGCUGAUGGCUCGUUGCAGACUGGAGAAGGCUCCCGGCAUGGCAGCUGUCUGGACAAACUGCAGGAGCAGCUACUCCCAGGAACAGCCUGAAAACAGUUGGUAAAGGGGAGGCGUUUUACCUUUCUGAGUCCCUUAAAGCAGCAAUAUCUUGCAAGACUGGAGGACAAUUACAGGUGCCAUGAUUUUUUUGCUAUCAUCCUUCCUAGUUUGUCUAUUCCAG